rnacentral:rRNA from 1 species
UACAGAGGGUGCGAGCGUUGUUCGGAAUUAUUGGGAGUAAAGGGCGCGUAGGCGGUGCGGUAAGUCACCUGUGAAAUCUCCUGGCUCAACUGGGAGCUUGCAGGCGAAACUGCCGUGCUGGAGUGUGGGAGAGGUGAGUGGAAUUCCCAGUGUAGUGGUGAAAUACGUAGAGAUUGGGAAGAACACCAGUGGCGAAGGCGGCUAUCUGGACGGUUUCUGACGCUAAGACGCGAAAGCGUGGGGAGCAAACAGG